ACACAUGCAAGUCGAGCGGAAGCGCGAGGGAGCUUGCUCUCUUGGCGGCGAGUGGCGGACGGGUGAGUAAUGCUUMGGAAUCUGCCCAGUAGCGGGGGAUAGCUCCGSGAAAGACGGACUAAUACCGCAUACGCCCUUUUGGGGAAAGCGGGGGAUCUUCGGACCUUGCGCUAUUGGAUGAGCCUAAGUCGGAUUAGCUAGUUGGUGAGGUAAUGGCCCACCAAGGCGACGAUCCGUAGCUGGUCUGAGAGGAUGAUCAGCCACAUCGGGACUGAGACACGGCCCGAACUCCUACGGGAGGCAGCAGUGGGGAAUAUUGGACAAUGGGGGCAACCCUGAUCCAGCCAUGCCGCGUGUGUGAAGAAGGCUUUCGGGUUGUAAAGCACUUUCAGUGAGGAGGAAGGCCUCAAAGUUAAUACCUUUGAGGAUUGACGUCACUCACAGAAGAAGCACCGGCUAACUCCGUGCCAGCAGCCGCGGUAAUACGGAGGGUGCAAGCGUUAAUCGGAAUUACUGGGCGUAAAGCGCGCGUAGGUGGUUGAGUAAGCGAGAUGUGAAAGCCCCGGGCUCAACCUGGGAACGGCACUUCGAACUGCUCGGCUAGAGUGUGGUAGAGGGUAGUGGAAUUUCCUGUGUAGCGGUGAAAUGCGUAGAUAUAGGAAGGAACACCAGUGGCGAAAGGCGGCUACCUGGACCAACACUGACACUGAGGUGCGAAAGCGUGGGGGAGCAAACAGGAUUAGAUACCCUGGUAGUCCACGCCGUAAACGAUGUCAACUAGCCGUUGGGGGAUCUUGAAUCCUUAGUGGCGCAGCUAACGCACUAAGUUGACCGCCCUGGGGGGA
rnacentral:rRNA from 1 species